rnacentral:rRNA from 1 species
UACAGAGGUCUCAAGCGUUGUUCGGAUUCAUUGGGCGUAAAGCGUGCGCAGGCGGCUUACUAAGACAGGUGUGAAAGCCCCGAGCUUAACUUGGGAAUGGCGCUUGUGACUGGUAGGCUGGAGUGUGGCAGAGGGAGGUGGAAUUCCACGUGUAGCAGUGAAAUGCGUAGAGAUGUGGAGGAACACCGAUGGCGAAGGCAGCCUCCUGGGCCAGCACUGACGCUCAUGCACGAAAGCGUGGGGAGCAAACAGG